rnacentral:misc_RNA from 1 species
GGAAGGAUCAUUGUUGUUGCCUUCACAAAACACGACCUGUGCACAUGUAAUGCAAAGCUGCCGAGGAGGAAUGUUCUCCCCGGCCCAACCGGCCUCGACCUUCUGUGUCUUUUAGGACACGUUGGUUGCGGUGUCGGAAAACGGCGCGGAAUGUCGCCAAGGAAUAUUACAUUGCCGAGGCAGAUGAUGACGUGUUGUGUCGUCUGCUGAGGCCAAAGAAAAAAAACGAGAUGACUCUCGGCAACGGAUAUCUCGGCUCUCGCAUCGAUGAAGAACGUAGCAAAAUGCGAUACCUGGUGUGAAUUGCAGAAUCCCGUGAACCAUCGAGUUUUUGAACGCAAGUUGCGCCUGAGGCCUUUUGGCUGAGGGCACGUCUGCCUGGGCGUCAUGCGCCCAUCCACGCUCAGGCACCUAAAAGGUGCUCUUGAUGCGGACACUGGCCCUCCGAGCCGCAAGGUUGCGACGGGCCCAAGUACAAUGGCUGUCGGUUGAGGUCGAGAGCGACGAGUGGUGGGCUACAAUCUAGCGUUCGUUGCCCUUGAAUCUCACGAUGAUGAUGCCUGUAUUGACCCCAAACGAGCAUCAAGCCGCUGCAGCGUUAUGUUGUGUGGCAUGUUCGGACUUAUACCCCAGGUCAGGCGUGAUCACCCGCUGAGUUUAAGCAUAUAAAUAAGCGGAGGAAAAGAAACUUACGAGGAUUCCCCUAGUAACGGCGAGCGAACCGGGA